CAAUAAUUUGGCAAGCCACUCUAUUUUUGUCGGUAUACUACCACUUUUCCAAUUUUUUGCAAUCCCUCCCGAAGCUGCGCGCUCGGUGGAAGAGGACGACCAUCCCAGAUAGAAGGAGUGUACCGUUCUUCGGUCAAGGGUAUACGAUAGCUGCGCUCCCCUGCUAGAACCUCCAAACAAGCCAGAAAAGACCCUAACUACCCCUUUAAAAUAUACAUUUCAUUUUCAAUUUGUUAUUUUAU